CUCCGCUGCUCCUCUGAAAAAAGGGAAAUGAACGUUUCCCAGGCAACUGUCGGAUGAUCCUCUUACACAUCCUCGCUAGGGGGAGCCGAAGUCGUCAGAAGCUGAUGAGAUCACCAAGAGAAAAUGACAGACUGGAAGGAGCUACCUUUCGAAUCUGUAAUUAAGGUGAGACACUUCAAAACCAAACAAAGAUAGGAGAUCACAGAAAGUACAAAAUAAACGUUUUCAAAAGAAAUAUAAACCAAUCAUUUAAGGAAAAAAAUGCUCCAAAGAAGUAAUAAAUGCAAAUAAAAAGUCUGGGAUUUCACCUCACACUCAUCAAGUUUGCAAAAAUAAAAUUAUUAUAAUAGUCUUAAAAGCAAGUGGGAAGACAGGCACAAUAAUGUACAGAUGAUAGAGUUAUCAGUAGUACAACUUCAAGUCCUUUAAUUUAUAAUAUAAAUCAUAAGGUUUUUUUGUAAUAGCAAAAAACCUGGAAAGGAGUAGUUGCCUAUCAAUUGGUCAAUGGCUAAACAAUAUGUCACAGGAAUGUAAUAGAAUAUUAUUGAAUCAUAACAACUGAGGAAUAUGAAUUUAGAGAAAUGUGAAGGCUUGAAUGAACUGAUAAUUGGAGAAAGCAAAACCAGGAAAAUAUACUAAACAGCAACCAUUUAAAUAAAGCUAACACAAUACAAUUCAGUGAUUAAUAUGGAGUCCAAAUUACAGAUGAUGAAAGUCUCUUCUGGGAAAAGGGGUUGAUUGUCAUCUGCCUGGGGACCAUAUGACUGGGCUUGUGGGGAAUAAGUGACAUCACAUUCUGCCAUAUUACCACCUGCCUGGCUUUAUUUGGAACAAGGGAAAUUUACUUUUAACCUGUUUCAACAAUCAUCUGUCUGGGGCAGCUAGGUGGCACUGUGGAUAGAGCACCAGCCCUGAAGACAAGAGGACCCAAGUUCAAACAUGACCUCACACACUUACCACUUCCCAGCUGUGUGACCCUGGGCAAAUCACUUCACCCCCAUUGCCUCAGGAAAACAAAACAAAACAAAACAAAAAAAAAAAAAUCUGAGUCUAUGUGCUUCUUCUCAUUCCAUCCCCAAAUCUCUUUUCCAGCCUCACAUGCUGCAUAAUCCCCCAGUCUCCCUCUUAAGAGUCAACUUCUAGAGAUGUUACUCAUUUAUCUGAACUCAUUCCUCAAGGAUCAACAAACCUUGCAGUUACCCAGGCUUGCAAUCUUAAGUGCAGACCAUCAUCACUUCAUUGUGAUGGCAAUAGCCCCUGGAUUGGUCCUCCUUUCUCAAGCCUCUCUAUUUCAGUCCAUCCUCCAUUCAGCUGUCAAUUUAAUUCUCCUAAAGCUUAAGUCUAUCUAUAUUGUCACCAUAUUCAAUAAACUCCAGGGACUCUAGAACCAAAACUCUGGUAAAGAUGCUUUAAUAAUGUGGCCUCUUACCCUUCUAAUUUUAUGCAUCAUUUCCUUUUCUCCUCCCUUUCAUAAUACUUUGUGAUCCUAUUCUCAAUACCAUACCUUGAACCAGACCUUCCUGACAUUUUCUCUGCUGUUUUCCAUGCUUGGAACAUUUUUUCUCAUCUGUCCUCCUUGCCUCCCUUCAAACUACAAGUCUCUUCUACAAGAAAAAUUUCCUGAUGCCUUUAUAUUAGCAUCUAUUAUCCCCAACUUAACAUGUCAUUUGUCUGUAUAUUUGCAUACUUGUUUACACACACAUAUCUUGUCUGUACAUAUUUGCAUGCUGCCUCUUAUCCUUAGAAGAGAGCAUUUUUUUUUGCCUUUUUAUGUCAUGCCUCUAGCACAGUACAGGGGCACAGUAAGCACUUAUGCAAUUCCCUGACCACAUAAACUAUCUUACCCAAACUAGAAUCUUAUUGCAAAAAAAAUAUUUCUUUGUUUGGUUUUUAAAUCUUUCAAAUUGGACUCCAGUCUAUCCAUGUUACUGCCCUUUUUGCAUUUUAGAGUUCAACCAAACUGACUUUUCACACAUGAUACAUUAACUUUUCUAUAUAUUACCUGUCUCCCACACCUGAAAUAAAUUCUUUACCUCUGCCUCAGAAUCUCUUUCUCAAAAAACAAUUCAAACAGAAAGCUUUCCCUACUCUUCCACUAAUGCUUUCUUGCCCUAAAAACUAUUCUUUGUAUAUUUUACAUAUACAUAUUUCCCCCCAAUAAAUAUUACUGCCUUAGGAGUAAAGAUUGUUUCCAUUCUUUUUUCAGCACUUACCGAAAUGCCUGACACAUAUAGUAAGCCCUCAAAUAACUGUUAAUGGACACUGGGAGUAAAUGAAAUUGCCAAGGAAGAUUAUUUAAUUCUAAAAUGCCAUUCGACUUUUGAAAUUUCUUUUUACUUUACUAUCUCAGCUCAAUCUCCUGACUUUUCCUAAAAGGAUUGGAAAUUGACUCCUUUUGAGUAGAAUUUCUUUUACUUGUACCCUCAUUCCCCUCUCCCCAGUGAUUAGCACCAUGUCUGACUCAGGAUACAUUUAAUUUCAUUCAUAGUAAGAAAAAUUUGGAGUAAGAAUGGUUUGACAACACAUUUUGAAAAACAGUAUAUACUUACUGAUGAAUAAUAUAGUCUAAUAUUUCCUAAUUCGUUCUUUGCUGCAUGGAGGACUAAAGAGAUAAAAGAGUGGAAGAGAAUGUUUUAGCGGAGAUGGGGGCUAUGGUAUCAAACUCAGAAAUGGGGUAGGAAGAAGCCCACUAAUCAAGACCUGAUUUACUUUUAAAAAGGACCCACUUGCAAAAAGUUUUGUAACAGCUUUUAGUAGUGGCAAGGAAUUAGAAAUUGAGUUGAUGACCAUUAACUGGGGAAUGGCUGAAUAAGAUAUUGGUAUAUGUGUAAUGGGAUAUUAUUGUUCUAUAAAAGAAAUGAACAGGAUUUCAGAAAAGCCUGAAUGACUGAUAUGAACUGAUGCCGAGUGAAAUCAGGAGGACCAGAAGAACGCUGUAUACAAUAAUAGCAAAGUUAAGUGAUGACCAGCUAUAGAUGUGUUUCUUAGCAUUUUGGUGAUCCAAGAUAAUUCCAAAAGACUUGGGAUGGAAUGUGCCAUCCACAUCCAAAGGAGAACUAUGGAGACUAAAGGUGGAUCAAAGCAUAGUAUUUUCACCUUUUUUAUUUGCCUUUUCUUGUUUCCCCCCCACUUUGGUCUGAUUUUUUUUUUUUAAUGACAAAUGUUGAAAUGUAUGCAAAUAAAUACUUCUUGAUUGAUGAUAGCCCCUGGGGAGGAUACAAA